AAGUCGUAACAAGGUUUCCGUAGGUGAACCUGCGGAAGGAUCAUUACAUUCAGUAGCUUGCUACUGUUAGGGGGUCUAUCAGCCUGUAUAGUAUCACUACUGAUGAGCAGCACGACCCUCUGUCUGUACCCUUGUCUUUGCGCACUCAUGUAUCCUCGGCGCUAACCCCAGCCGCUGGACAACACUACUAACCUUUUUGAAUUUUUGCAAUCAGCGUCUUGAAAAACUUAAUAAUUACAA
rnacentral:misc_RNA from 1 species